AUACGGAGGGUGCAAGCGUUACUCGGAAUCACUGGGCGUAAAGCGCGCGCAGGCGGCUAUUUAAGUUGGAUGUGAAAGCCUACGGCUCAACCGUAGAACUGCAUCCAAAACUAUUUAGCUAGAGUGUGGGAGAGGAAGAUGGAAUUAGUUGUGUAGGGGUAAAAUCCGUAGAGAUAACUAGGAAUACCAAAAGCGAAGGCAAUCUUCUGGAACACUACUGACGCUGAGGCGUGAAAGCGUGGGGAGCAAACGGGAUUAGAAACCCUAGUAGUCC
rnacentral:rRNA from 1 species